rnacentral:rRNA from 1 species
AUUGAACGCUGGCGGCAGGCUUAACACAUGCAAGUCGAGCGGAGAUGAGGUGCUUGCACCUUAUCUUAGCGGCGGACGGGUGAGUAAUGCUUAGGAAUCUGCCUAUUAGUGGGGGACAACAUUCCGAAAGGAAUGCUAAUACCGCAUACGUCCUACGGGAGAAAGCAGGGGAUCUUCGGACCUUGCGCUAAUAGAUGAGCCUAAGUCGGAUUAGCUAGUUGGUGGGGUAAAGGCCUACCAAGGCGACGAUCUGUAGCGGGUCUGAGAGGAUGAUCCGCCACACUGGGACUGAGACACGGCCCAGACUCCUACGGGAGGCAGCAGUGGGGAAUAUUGGACAAUGGGGGAAACCCUGAUCCAGCCAUGCCGCGUGUGUGAAGAAGGCCUUAUGGUUGUAAAGCACUUUAAGCGAGGAGGAGGCUACUGAGACUAAUACCCAAGAUGAGUGGACGUUACUCGCAGAAUAAGCACCGGCUAACUCUGUGCCAGCCGCCGCCGUAA